rnacentral:rRNA from 1 species
GAUGAACGCUGGCGGCGUGCCUAAUACAUGCAAGUCGAGCGAACGGACGAGAAGCUUGCUCCCUUGUUGUUAGCGGCGGACGGGGGAGAAACACGUGGAUAACCUACUUUAAAGACUGGGAAAACUUGGGAAAACGGGAGCUAAUACCGGAUAAUAUUUUGAACCGCAUGGUUCAAAAGUGAAAGACGGUCUUGCUGUCCCUUAUAGAUGGAUCCGCGCUGCAUUAGCUAGUUGGUAAGGUAACGGCUUACCAAGGCAACGAUGCAUAGCCGACCUGAGAGGGUGAUCGGCCACACUGGAACUGAGACACGGUCCAGACUCCUACGGGAGGCAGCAGUAGGGAAUCUUCCGCAAUGGGCGAAAGCCUGACGGAGCAACGCCGCGUGAGUGAUGAAGGUCUUCGGAUCGUAAAACUCUGUUAUUAGGGAAGAACAUAUGUGUAAGUAACUGUGCACAUCUUGACGGUACCUAAUCAGAAAGCCACGGCUAACUACGUG